AGCGCAGGCGGUGCGGCAAGUCUGAUGUGAAAGCCCGGGGCUCAACCCCGGUACUGCAUUGGAAACUGUCGUACUAGAGUGUCGGAGGGGUAAGCGGAAUUCCUAGUGUAGCGGUGAAAUGCGUAGAUAUUAGGAGGAACACCAGUGGCGAAGGCGGCUUACUGGACGAUAACUGACGCUGAGGCUCGAAAGCGUGGGGAAGCAAACA
rnacentral:rRNA from 1 species